UGCCGCUGGGCCGCUCUGUUUGUCCGUUUUACCCUAAACAGAUAGGUAGGGUCGCGCCGUACAAAUUGGGGAACAGAUAAAAAAACCUAGAGCCAAGCGGUAAAACAAGACCUUCCUGCUCCUCCUCCCCUCACCCGGCGGCGGCUCCCCACCCCUGCCUGCGCACCGCCUCUUCCUCCUUCUGACAGCGGCAGCGGUGAGCAUGAGAGCAGCGGAAGCGGCUGGACACCAUAAGCUGGCCGAGGUGGUCUACGUCGAGGAACGGCCGCGCCCGACGCCGUCCUCCAACCCGUACUUCCCAACCCGAUGCAUGCCCAAGGAUUCCGGCGCACCUCGAAGGAAGGACCAAGGCCUGAGACGACUUGUCUUGUCCUCUUCUUCCUCUAACAUCUCCCUGCCGGCUGCUGCUUAUUAGGGAGGGAGGGAGGGAGGGGAAAAGAUAGAUGGCGGCGGCGGCUGGACCUGGCUGAGUUGUUUGGGGAGCUGCGCACACGUCGAGCGACGGCGAGCGCAUCCGACGCCGACACACCGAGCAAGGAGGUCUGUGCGAGUUAGAGGCUAUAUGAGACAAGGGCUUGCUCCUAUUAAAUGGAAGGGCCAUAAUUAUUAGUCCAAGUGAUAUUGAAGUUACAUUUGAGAAUUUUCCCUACUACCUCAGCGAGAAUACGAAGGAUGUGCUCCUAUCAUGUUCAUUCUUACAUUUGGAAAAGAAGGGAUUCAUUGAGCAGUUCUCCGAAAUUUCUUCAAUAAACCAGCGAAUUUAUCAUCUGGUCCAUCAGGUAAAUUAUUUUUUGUCAUUGCAUAUUGUCUCUGUUGAAUGAAAUUUGUGUCCUUGAGCCAUGUCAGCUUAUAUGCUUUUUGUGAACACCAUUACUUAUAAUUAUCCAUCUCAUUAUGUAUCAGGUUCUGAGAUUUAUUAGGAAACAUUGAUGAAGGCACUUGCCAAACAUUUUGGUGCUAUACUACUUGUUGAUUUGUUGCUGUUGCCGGACGUACUGAGAACUUCAUGAAUACCUUAAAUAGUGAUAUUUCUGUGUGGAUUUUGUUUGAAAAAAAAUUGUAUAUGGCUGUCCAUGCACACACGAUAUUCAAUUUUUAUAUAGUGUAGAAGUGGUGUGGAAGUUAAAGCAUCCGUGACUGCAUGUGGAUAUAUUUUGUCAACCCAUGUAACAUUGCCUUUAAACAUGAUUUAGGAUUUUCAUUAUGUGCAACUCUGCCCAGAUUGAGUACUAGGUUGUUUGUUUCGUGCCUAGGUGAGGUCAUUAUGGCGGUACUGAAAAGUGAUGCUCUAAUGUUCAUCUGUGUUAUGGAGUUGGUUCUUUUGAAGUUAAAGUAGUUGUGUGUUCGUAUGAUGCUCUUCUCAGGUUUUAAGCCUAGGUGAAGGCAUAACAUGUGGUAAUCUAUGUUCUUUUCGAUCCGCCUGCGUCUGAUUUUUUACCUCUUCUAGGUUGUUUUGCGUACUGUGGUUGCCCUCUAUUCCACAUGGUCUAUGAGUUGCAAGGAUUUAGGGUCUAGGAACUGACAUCUUUUGUUUCUGUUGCUGAUUAGAGCUUUGGUUAAGGUGCAUUCUUUUUUAGUGUAGCCAGCAUUCUGUUGUUGCUCCUGUGAUAAAUUGUUAGUUAGACUUGUGCUUAACUUGCGAUUCUUACAGAGAUGUACUUUCAGCGAGAAGAAAAGGCCAUAUUUUUUGCUAGCAAGGAUGUCGAUCUUGCAGCUUUCUGCGCAUAGUUUCAUUCUUAUCUUAUAUACUUUAUUUAUAGCAUAUAAAUACAGGAAUAUAGCCGUCCUAUGUUAGAGUAUGAAUUAGAAUCCAAAGCAGCAAUUGUAAAAAUGAACAAUAACUUCUAUUUCGUCAUAUAUGCAAUGCCCCCACUUUUAUUGUUUUUCCUUUUUGGUUCUAUAGGAUUGCAAUCUAUACUUUCUUUGCCUUACGCUGAAUCUGAUGUUAUUCAUGCAUCUGAUGCCACUCAGAUUUUAGGAAUUUUAGGAUGGAUGGCAAGUUUCCCAUGUUGGAUGUUUCCUUACUUUCUCAAAUCUUUGUGAUAACAUAGAGGACUAAUAUUAUUGUUCCAAGAAGAGAAGCAACCACAUCAGUGUGUAGUAGUCGGUAUCAGUGUUUUCUCAUUCCGAUGAUUCUGAAGCGAGAUGAUUACUUUAUUCCCCCAUUUCUUUGUCCAUAGUCAUACCUCAAUGAGUUUCUCUAUUUCCUAUAGCUCUACUACUAUUUCCAUUGGAACGUGUCUCUCAGUUAUCCUUUAUAUUGUUAGAGUUGUGUCGAAUAUAGUGUACAAUGUAGGUUACAGUUGGACUUGUAGUUGUAUCGUGUUUAGAUAGGAUAUGGAGUCGUGUCCUAGUAGGACACUUGUAUCCUAGGCCUCUCAUAUAUA